UACGUAGGGUGCGAGCGUUAAUCGGAAUUACUGGGCGUAAAGCGCGCGCAGGCGGUUCUUUUAAGUCAGGGGUGAAAGCCCAGAGCUCAACUCUGGAAUUGCCUUUGAAACUAGAGAACUUGGGUACGGGAGAGGUGAGUGGAAUUCCGAGUGUAGAGGUGAAAUUCGUAGAUAUUCGGAAGAACACCAGUGGCGAAGGCGGCUCACUGGCCCGUUACCGACGCUCAGGCGCGACAGCGUGGGGAGCAAACAGG
rnacentral:rRNA from 1 species